CCAAAAGCCACGGAAUAGGCUAAUUUUCAUGGACGAACCGGUGUCCAGCUAAUACCGGGAGCCACUCAAAUGGAGACUGUUUUCGUGGACAAACUGAUGUACGGCUAAUACCGGAAGCCACAAGAUGGUUAGGUUUCGUAGACGAAUCGGUGUGUCUGGCUAACACCAGCAGCCACCAGGAUGGAAUAGACUCGAACCCAGUGGAUCGUCGUAAUUCUUGCAAGAUUUAGAAACUACAAGCUUGCAAGGCUAUUUUGAUACUGUACAGGUGCAAUCGUAUAGCGACAAAACGGUAUUAAAAUAUACAAAAUGGAGGCGCGAAUUGAUUGUAAACGUCGUUUUUUUUUUUAAGCCACGCGCGUUACGGUGAAUGCUAUCGCGUCCAGGUCAAUGUGUAA